UCCUCGCCAUCGCCGCCGAUGUCGUUGCAAGUGACGUCUUCAGGUGCCACCAUCCUCGUCGCCGCUCGUCACGUCGAUGUAGAGGGUUGGGACGUCCACAGGUGCGGCGACGACCCCCAGAUUGAGCCAGACACAUAUUAUGGAGACGUCGGAGGAGGGGGCGGUUGUGCUAGGGGUGGUGACCAUGGAGCCCAUGCACACUCUUCCGCAUGCUCCUGCUUCACCUCCCGCUUGACAUCAAGCUCACGGACGUAGAUGUUCCUGAAGGCUGACAGCUCAAGCAUUUUUUGCAAAGCCCUCCCACUACUACUCCUGUUGGCGCACAUACUCCCUUUCAAAGUCCUCCAUGACGCCUUGUAGGAGCCGCUCCUCCUCGACCAUCAUGGAGGGAGGUUGGGGGUGGCAGCGAUGGGGACGAAGACGGAAUCGGCAUCACGCCAUGGUUUCGUGUGCAGCCGCGCACUCUUGACGGGCUCAGUGUGCG
rnacentral:lncRNA from 1 species